ensembl:lncRNA
AAAUCCCGCACGGGACACUUUUAGGGAUGUUCUGACCCAAUUCACAACCAAACAGGAAGAAAUGGCCGAAGCCUAACAAGAUUUAUUUUCAUUUGCUUUCUAGAUUUCGCUCGCUGUAUCUUUAAAGCACUUGAAGUUUUCUUGGCAGCUCAGGGAAGAACUGCAAGUUCAGCCAAAAUAGACAAUAAAGCAAAGGGGAGGAACAUGCCAAAAUGAAAGGGGCAACUAGUUCCAGGGGUUCAUUUUUCCUUCAUGAUUCACGCUGGAAAAGAAAGCACUUCCCUGUCCUCAGAUGAACUCUCGCCGCGCUCUGGAGGAGGGGACGGACGCGCGCGCGCGCGCACAAGCAGAACUGGGUCAACUGCAGACGAGUCAAAAGAAGCGAGAGAGUGUCGUGUUGAGCUGACAGCACAGCUGUGUUUCCAGUGGAUCACAGACAGACAGGUGAUGUGUCCUGUCUGGCUCUUUGGCUGCGCACCAAGUAAUGUGAUCAAUCAGAGGUACUUCAGAAAUCCCGCAGUCGCAGGUGUCACUCAUAAACAAACAUGCUGCUCCAGCUUGAGUUCACGGAGGGCGUCUGUCCUCACGCGCCCCGGGAGCUUUUACCUGCUUGUGUCUUGCAUGGCUGUUGUGUUCAGAGACGAAGAGCGAGGAUCAGCCCUGAUGACCCAGAAAGACGCUCAUGGAUGGGCCUAAUUAGAUCAGCCCGGUGUGACGAACGGGAGAUGACGUCAUGGCUCUGCUGGCCGGUCAUGUGACUGGCUUAAAUUGUGUUUGUGCUCUGAUCUGGGAUCAGAUGACCACUGUAGUGUUACUUAAUCAUAAACUUCAUUAGAGAACCAGGCUAAAUUAUAUACAUUAAAAUAUUAUUUCUGAUUGGAUGAGCCACGUUAGAUUUGUAAAAUGCAGGAUAUUAAAAAUAGCAUUUGUUUAAUCACACAGUAUACAGUGUUAGAUCUCAAGAAUACCACUAAUUUAGCCAUUUAUAUAAAGUGUGCACAGCAAUUUUGCAUCAUUCUCUCUGGCAGCAAGUAUUUUUUUAUUUUACAUAUUGUAUACUUAUUUUAAACGUAAAUAUAUAUUUUUUAAUGUUUAUGAAAGUUUAAAUAAAUAUAAGUGCAUGUUUAAAAACAAUACGACAUUGUAUUUUUAACACUUAAAGUUAUAUACAUAUAAUUUUCACAUUUUAAGAAAUAAAUGUACAUUUAUGUUUAUUCUCCUUGUGGCCUUUUUACAGAUCAUCUGAUCUUUCUCACUAGACUCUCUCACUCUUUAUUUCUUCUCUGUCAAGUUUCUCCUUUAAUCACACCGGUCAUCCCAGUAUAGAUGCAACAUCUGGAUUUCAUCGCCGCUGGAGUGAUGAUAAACACUCUCACAGCUGAUCCAAAACCCACAUCGCACGGAUGGAGAGGCCGGCCCUCGACUCGCUUUCAAAGCUGCCUCGUCCCACGCAAUCAGAUGAAAUGUGCCGGCUUGCAGAGACUCGGCAAGUGAAACUUCACCAGAUCUGUCCGAACUCACAUAGGGUUAAGUUGUGUUGGAUGAACAGAAGAAUCCUCUUUUCCAUCCUGAUUGGUCAGUAUAGGCCAUGUGACACUCUACAUCUUCUGAUGUCAUAAGAUGCUUUGUAUGAGGAAGAGAUCCAAAUUUCUUGGAGUCGUUAUUUACUGACAUUUUCCACUGCAGCUGUCAAAUCGCAUUCACACAGAUUUUCAAUUCGAAUAUGACGUGCUACAUCACGAUCGCAACUCACGGGGACAUGGUGAUGGAAAAAUAUAUUUCAGUGUUUUUGCAUUUGCUGGCAAAACCUUUGCACUUCCUCAAGAAAUGUUACGUUCGCUCGCAAAACUUUGGAUUCCCUCAAGAAAUUUUGCAUUCACUAACAAACUUGCGUUCACUAGCAAAACUUUUAUGUUGUCUUGCAAAACUGUCUUUUCUAUGUAUAUUUUUAAGCAAAAAAUAAAUAAAUAAAUAAAAUAAAUAAACAAAACUGCAUAUUUCUGAGAAACUUUGCAUUUGCAGGCAAAAUUUUUGCAAUUCCUGAGAAACAUUGCGUUAGCUAGCAAAACGUUUACAUUUCCUUUUAAAACUUCCUUAGAAAAUGCAUUUGCUUGCAAAAUAUUUACGUUCCCCCAAGAAACAUUGCCUUGGCUCUCAAAACUUUUGCGUUCCCUGAGUAACAGUGUAAUUGCUCAAAUGUUUGCACAAAAUGUUUUUGUGUUCCCCCGAGAAACUUAGCAUUUGCUUUGCAAAAUUUUUGCAUCCCCAAAGAAAUGUUGCGUUUGCUCGUGAAACUUUUACGUUCUCCCGAGCAUUCGCUAGCAAAAAAAAAAAAAAAAAAAAAAAAAA